UCCUGGCUCAGGAUGAACGCUAGCUACAGGCUUAACACAGUGCAAGUCGAGGGGAAACGACAUCGAAAGCUUGCUUUGGUGGGCGUCGACCGGCGCACGGGUGAGUAACGCGUAUCCAACCUGCCCACCACUUGGGGAUAACCUUGCGAAAGUAAGACUAAUACCCAAUGAUAUCCCACGAAGGCAUCCGAAUGGGAUUAAAGAUUUAUCGGUGAUGGAUGGGGAUGCGUCUGAUUAGCUUGUUGGCGGGGUAACGGCUCACCAAGGCAACGAUCAGUAGGGGUUCUGAGAGGAAGGUCCCCCACAUUGGAACUGAGACACGGUCCAAACUCCUACGGGAGGCAGCAGUGAGGAAUAUUGGUCAAUGGGCGAGAGCCUGAACCAGCCAAGUAGCGUGCAGGACGACGGCCCUAUGGGUUGUAAACUGCUUUUAUAAGGGAAUAAAGUGAGUCUCGUGAGACUUUUUGCAUGUACCUUAUGAAUAAGGACCGGCUAAUUCCGUG
rnacentral:rRNA from 1 species